UUUUUUUUUUAUUCAUUGAUAAUAUGAUUUCUUUAAAAACUCUUUGAUUAAAAAAACAUAUUUAUUAAGUAUUAUAAUCAAAGCUUGGCUCUGACUUUAAAAUAUAAUAAUAGCAAAGGAAUACACAUGGUUUUUCUAGAUAGUAGUGAGGUUAAAAAAUUAAAUAAUAUUAAGUAGAAAAUUGAGAAUUAUUUGUUUUUUAAAGCAUUAUGAUUAAAGAUGAUUCUAAAGCCGUAUCACUAUACACCAGUGUCAAACAUUAAUAAAGGAGCGAAAGCUUGCUUUAGAUUAGCUAAAAGAUUUGGUCAACUUGGUGCCAGCAUCCGCGGUUAGACCAAGAAAUCAAGUUAUAUAAUAUAGGUAAAAAGAUAGUUAAAUAACAUUAAUUUAAGUUUUAAGAUUUUUUAUUUAAAAGUAAAAUUUGAAUAUAAAAAAAUAUUUUAAUUAAAACUUAUUAUAUUGAAGCUAUGAUAAUUUAGGGAUAAACUAGGAUUAGAUGCCCUACUAUUCUAAAUUAUAAAUCAAUAUUAUAAUAUUUACCUGAGUACUACGAGUCCAAAAACUUAAAACUCAAAGAGCUUGGCGGUACUUCAUACCUUUCAGGGGAACCUGUCUCAUAAUCGAUAAUCCACGUAAUACCUUACCUUUUUUUGUCUUCAGUUUGUAUACCGUCGUCGUUCAGGCAACUUUUAAAAAUAUAGAAGUUGACAAAAAAGAUUAUUAAUCUUAAACGUCAGAUCAAGGUGCAGCUUAUAAAAAGGAGAGGAUGGGUUACAAUUAAAAUUCAUAACUACGGAAUAGAAGAUUAAAUCUUCUAAUGAAGGAGGACUUGAAAGUAAGAAUUUAUAUAUAAAUUUUCUGAAUAUGGCUCUGAAGUGUGCACACAUCGCCCGUCGCUCUCGUUGAAAAAUGAGAUAAGUCGUAACAUAGUAGGGGUAAUGGAAGUUGUCCCUGGAUG
rnacentral:ncRNA from 1 species